UGGGGAAUUUUGGACAAUGGGGGCAACCCUGAUCCAGCCAUGCCGCGUGAGUGAAGAAGGCCUUCGGGUUGUAAAGCUCUUUCGGCGGGGAAGAAAUGGCAACGGCUAAUAUCCGUUGUUGAUGACGGUACCCGCAUAAGAAGCACCGGCUAACUACGUGCCAGCAGCCGCGGUAAUU
rnacentral:rRNA from 1 species